rnacentral:rRNA from 1 species
UACGUAGGGCGCGAGCGUUGUCCGGAAUUACUGGGCGUAAAGAGCUCGUAGGUGGUUUGUCGCGUUGUUCGUGAAAACCGGGGGCUUAACCCUCGGCGUGCGGGCGAUACGGGCAGACUUGAGUACUGCAGGGGAGACUGGAAUUCCUGGUGUAGCGGUGGAAUGCGCAGAUAUCAGGAGGAACACCGGUGGCGAAGGCGGGUCGCUGGGCCUAUACUGACACUGAGGAGCGAAAGCGUGGGGAGCGAACAGG